UUGUGCUAUAAAGGCAGAGUUGAAUAGCUGUAACAGAGAGCACAUGGCCAACAAAUCUGAAAGUAUUUACUAUCUGGCUCUUAAGAGAACAUGUUUGCUGAUUGCUGGUCUGGAGGAAGAGACAGGGAAGUAAACAGAUGAUUGCAUCACUAUAACAGUGCUAUGAUUGAGGUGAGCAGGUAAGAGAUGAAGCCAGGCAGGAGCAUGGAGGAGGGUCCAGGGGUGGUUAUAUCCUUUAGGGUCUCAAAAAUUCCCUGAAGCAGCCAUGGGGAGCCAUUGAAAGACUUGAGCAGGAGUGACAUGAUCACCUCCCGAAACUAGUGCAUGGAAAGUGGAGGAAGACAGCAGCAGAGCAAGGGGGCCCAGUGAGAGACUGUUGUGAUGGUCCAGAAGGGAGAAGAGAAGAACCUGAAUGGAUCAGGAGCUGUGGACAUGGAGAAGGCAAUGCUGGAAAGAUCUUGAAGGCUGGGUAACAACAUCUCAUUGGGAAGGAGGGAAAACGAAGGAGGGCAGUGGAAGGAUAUCCUUUAAAAGCAGUCUGUGCUCAACAAGCAGUAAAGGUCAUGCUUCAUAACUCAAGGUCAAAAGGCACAGGAAGCAAUUCUGCACACAAGACUUCUUACUGAUCUCUUUCUUAUUUGCUUUCUUUCCUCAUAAGACAAUGACUUUGUGAGACAAAAAUACCUUUGUCAUUAAAAUGCACUCAUUCAUCCA